UACGGAGGGUGCAAGCGUUGUCCGGAAUCACUGGGCGUAAAGGGCGCGUAGGUGGCCUGUGGAAGUCUGCGGUGAAAGCCCGGCGCUCAACGCCGGGUCGGCCGUGGAUACUCUCGGGCUUGAGCUUACUAGAGGCAGAUGGAAUUCCGGGUGUAGCGGUGGAAUGCGUAGAGAUCCGGAAGAACACCGGUGGCGAAGGCGGUCUGCUGGGGUAAUGCUGACACUGAGGCGCGACAGCGUGGGGAGCAAACAGG
rnacentral:rRNA from 1 species